rnacentral:lncRNA from 1 species
UUAGCGUGGUACAAUAUACCAGGAAGCUGACCCAAGUUCAAUUCCAGCCAGGCCAGCCUCAAGAGGGGUCAUGAAUUGCCCCUCCCUUUGUUUAUAUUUUAACUUAGUCUCCCCAGCUUGGGGAGUACAGAGAGGAGAAUCUAUAAUGGCCUCUAAUGGCUGUGACCUCUGAAAAGGAAGGGGAAUUGGCAGAGCGUCAAUAUUGGCCGGAAUGGGCUGCCCAGUGAGUUUGGCUGGAGUUCAUAGGGCACAUACAGAUUGAGGGUGCUACUGUAGGACUUCUUUACCCUGGGCAGAAAAUGCCACUGGGCCAUUGUGACUUGACCCAUCUUGGAGCAACGAGGGGGUCUGAAGACCCAGAAUGAGGUGGGGACCUCUGGCUCACAGCUUUUCCUGUCUUUUCAGAUGCGCUGGCUCCCUCCCUCCGAGGCUACUUCCCAGGGCUGGAAGUCCCGGCAGUUCUGCUGAGGCUGUGUCUCGGGUGUGUGAUGGCGGCUGCAAUCUGUCUUGUGGGUAUUAAUGCGGUCUUCACUGGUGGCGACUGUCAUCCAGCUGUUCUGCAAAACUGGAGCUUGCUGGCUUGAAAACACCUUGCCCAGUUUUGAUCCCUUCAAGACUUCAUAACAGCCUCUAUCACACAUCUGUUUUCCUC